rnacentral:RNase_P_RNA from 1 species
CGGAUAGCUGCGCCGCGGAAAGUAAGAUCCACCGGUGAGGAAAGUCCGGGCUUCACGGAGGCAGAGCACCAGAUAACGUCUGGCUGGAGAAAUCCAAGGGAAAGUGCCGCAGAAAAUUACCGCCUUCUAUACGGAGGUAAGGUUGAAAAGGCGAGGUAAGAGCUCACCGCGGUUGUGGCAACAUGACCGGCAAGGUAAACCCUGUUCGAUGUAAGACCAAGUUAGGACGGUUUUCGUCAGAAAACCAGUUAGAAGCGCCUCCGCUUCUUCCAGAGGUAGGUCGCGAUGAGCCAAACAGUGAUGUCUGGCCAAGAUGAAUAGCUAUCGUCAUGAUAUUCCGGUAGCAGGAAUAUUUAUGAUACAGAACCCGGCUUACAGAUUGCC